UUUGGACCUGAGACUCUGAGAAGAAAUAGGGAUAAAGGGAAUACCAAGGCUCAGUUUCUUGCAGCAAAGCCUUAUUUCAUAAUUGGAAUUAAUGACUUUUCCUGGAAGAAAAUCAGGCAGCGAGCAAUGAUUAUCUUAGUCCUUGGUUAGGACUCUUGCAUAUUCUGAUAAUGAGGACCAAACAACAAAACCAAUGGAGGGGGCCUGUGCAGCCAAGAAGAGAAACGUUUGUGUUCAACGUUGAGGAUUUGAAGCAGAUUUGAUUGAGAACGCCACUCCACAGGCUUCAGAUCACUACCUGGGACACUGCUAUGGUUGGAGCUGGAUAAAUCUUCUGUCCCAUCCUCUUUGUUUAAUCUGGGAUUCUGAAAUAUAUUCAUGCAUCAGAAAAGUUCUGUGGCAUAUUUUCAGUGUAACAGGCAUUUAAACACUGGCUGGAGUGGGCUACAGUUCAAGUCUGUAGAAGGUUAGAAGCUGCUGAGGAAUAAAGAAUACACUCAGCUGAAGGGCUGACAAACAAGAAAGGCCUUGCAGCUGGUGGUGGCCCGGUAUCCAGCCUGGUGUAGCAGUCUGCCACGCAGAUGAAGAGGAGGGUGGUCUAAUCCUAAGCGAGUUGAAGGCAAGCAGAGCUGGACAACAAGGAGGAUAAAAAUGGCAAGAGAGAGAGAGAGAUACUUUGAAUCCCAGAGGUUACUAAUUUCUGUCUGAACUGAAUAAAUGGCUGCAUAUAAA